rnacentral:rRNA from 1 species
UAAACGGACCAUCGAGUAUCCAUUGGAGGGCAAGUCUGGUGCCAGCAGCUGCGGUAAUACCAGCUCCAAUAGCGUAUAUUAAAGUUGUUGCAGUUAAAAAGCUCGUAGUUGGACUUGUGUGCGCUGUCCGCGGGUGGCCUGCGCCCAAAAGGGCGUUUCGGUUCGGCCCCGGUGGCGCCUUGAAAUCUGCAGCUGGGGGGACGUUGGCCUUAACUGGUCGGCGACCGCACGCCGGCUGCUCGGUUACUGUGAGAAAAUUAGAGUGUUCAAGGCAGGCAUUGGGUGCAAUUGAAUACAUUAGCAUGGAAUAAUAAAAUAUGGCUCCUGCCGUAUUUUGUUGGUUUUGACUGGUGGGAGUAAUGAUUGAUAGGGACGGUUGGGGGUGCUAGUAUUGAGCGGCCAGAGGUGAAAUUCAUGGAUUCGCUCAAGACUAACUUAUGCGAAAGCAUUCACCAAGGACGUCCUCUUUAAUCAAGAACGAAAGUUGGGGGAUCGAAGACGAUCAGAUACCGUCGUAGUCUCAACCAUAAACUAUGUCGACUUGGGAUCGGCGGUAGUUUUUUCAUUAAGACACUGUCGGGACCACGGGAGAAAUCAAAGUGUCUGGACUCUGGGGGAAGUAUGGUCGCAAGGCUGAAACUUGAAGGAAUUGACGGAAGGGCACCACCAGGAGUGGAGCCUGCGGCUUAAUUUGACCCAACACGGGGAAACUUACCAGGUCCAGAGAUGUAGAGGAUUGACAGAUUGAAGCUCUUUCUUGAUCACUUCGGUGGUGGUGCAUGGCCGUUCUUAGUUGGUGGAGUGAUUUGCCUGGUUAAUUCCGUUAACGAACGAGACCUCAGCCUGCUAGUGUAGUCGGCUGGAUUGCCUUUGGCGAUCCGUGAUUUCGACUUCUUAGAGGGACAAUCGACGCGCAGUCGAUGGAAGUUUGAGGCAAUAACAGGUCUGUGAUGCCCUUAGAUGUUCUGGGCCGCACGCGCGCUACACUGCUGGGCUCAGCGAGUUUUACUUGGCCGAGAGGCCCGGUUAAUCUUGUGAAAUCCCAGCGUGCUUGGGCUCGCCUCCUGCAACUGGAGGCGCCAACGAGGAAUUCCUAGUAGACGCAGGUCAUCAACCUGCAUCGAUUACGUCCCAGCCCUUUGUACACACCGCCCGUCGUUCCAUAAGAGUGAGGCAUCCGGUGAAUUCUCGGGAGAGCCUGGGCGUGGCCAGCAAUGGUCUGCUCGGGUUUUGAACUUGCAUAAACUUGGUGCCUAUGAUUAGGGAAAAGUCGUAACAAGGU